GACGAACGCUGGCGGCGUGCCUAAUACAUGCAAGUUGAGCGCUGAAGGUUGGUACUUGUACCAACUGGAUGAGCAGCGAACGGGUGAGUAACGCGUGGGGAAUCUGCCUUUGAGCGGGGGACAACAUUUGGAAACGAAUGCUAAUACCGCAUAAAAACUUUAAACACAAGUUUUAAGUUUGAAAGAUGCAAUUGCAUCACUCAAAGAUGAUCCCGCGUUGUACUAGCUAGUUGGUGAGGUAAAGGCUCACCAAGGCGAUGAUACAUAGCCGACCUGAGAGGGUGAUCGGCCACAUUGGAACUGAGACACGGCCCAAACUCCUACGGGAGGCAGCAGUAGGGAAUCUUCGGCAAUGGACGAAAGUCUGACCGAGCAACGCCGCGUGAGUGAAGAAGGUUUUCGGAUCGUAAAACUCUGUUGGUAGAGAAGAACGUUGGUGAGAGUGGAAAGCUCAUCAAGUGACGGUAACUACCCAGAAAGGGACGGCUAACUACGUG
rnacentral:rRNA from 1 species